CCUACGGGCGGCAGCAGUGAGGAAUAUUGGUCAAUGGACGAGAGUCUGAACCAGCCAAGCAGCGUGAAGGAUGACUGCCCUAUGGUUUGUAAACUUCUUUUAUAUGGGAAUAAAACAGGGUAUGCAUACCCUCUUGUAUGUACCAUAUGAAUAAGGAUCGGCUAACUCCGUGCCAGCAGCCGCGGUAAUACGGAGGUUUCGAGCGUUAUCCGGAUUUAUUGGGUUUAAAGGGAGCGUAGGUGGAUUGUUAAGUCAGUUGUGAAAGUUUGCGGCUUAACCGUAAGAUUGCAGUUGAAACUGGCAGUCUUGAGUACAGUAGAGGUAGACGGAAUUCGUGGUGUAGCGGUGAAAUGCUUAGAUAUCACGAAGAACUCCGGUUGCGAAGGCAGCUCGCUGGACUGCAACUGACACUGAUGCUCGAAAGUGUGGGUAGCAAACAGGAUUAGAUACCCUGGUAGUC
rnacentral:rRNA from 1 species